rnacentral:rRNA from 1 species
UACGGAGGCCCCCAAGCGUUGUUCGGAUUUAUUGGGCGUAAAGGGUGCGUAGGCGGCGCAUUAAGUCUGGUGUGAAAGGCGUGGGCUCAACCCGCGGACUGCAUUGGAUACUGGUGUGCUAGAGGACUGGAGAGGAGAAUGGAAUUCACGGUGGAGCAGUGAAAUGCGUAGAUAUCGUGAGGAAGGCCGGUGGCGAAGGCGAUUCUCUGGACAGUACCUGACGCUGAGGCACGAAGGCUGGGGGAGCGAACAGGAUUAGAUACCCGUGUAGU